GUGUGGUUUUGAAGAAAAAACAUGCUUGGUCCAUAUGCCCACUCUCCAAACACAUGAUUCGGGUCUCACAAAUCUUGGCCAUGUGCUGUAUCCGAAGACUCAUCGUAACAAAUAGGAUCUUCACUCUUUCUCCAUUAGAUGCGAAGCAUGUGUAUGACGCGGCCAAGGAACGCUGCAACAUCGUAUGAGCAACAUGGUCGACGCGAAUCCACGCUUAAAGGUUGUACGGUGAGGUUGGAUUGUGUAUUGGAGAUUGAAGGUUUUUUCUGGUGUUGGAGGUCGUUACAGUUGGCUUAAGAAGUUGGUUAUGGAGUUUUUUCAGGUUCGGUUAGCAUUCUUUUUGUGGUUCUUGUGAAGGUUUUUGGAGAUUGAAGCUAGAAGCACAAUUCUAUUGUGGAAGUUGAGGGUGAGAAUGAGAGUUAUGGAGGAUGAUGAAGGGUGAGGUUGAAGAAGAGGGUUCGUUCAUUGGGUUCUGUUAUAUAUUCUGUUGUAGUUUUUUUUCAGUUAUGCCUUUGCUGGUAUUACGCGCUAUUCCUCUUCUGUUAGCAUUCUGUUUCUAUUCCUUUUCCGUUAUCCUUCUCGACGGAAGCUCUCGGUUUGGUUGAAGGUUUGAGGGUUGUUAGUUGGAACGAUUGAAGCAGAGUUUUCAAGAAAGGUUAUUAGAGGAGGGUUCGUUUCCGGCAGGUUCUUUGAAGCAGUUGUGGAGGGAGAUUGAAGUUGGUUCUGCAGAGUUGUUACAGACAAUUAAAGGAGAGCUUGAGGAUGUUAUGUCAAAGAGGUUUUUGAAAAUUGGUUUCUUGAAAGUUCUCAUUCCGUUAUGGUGGUUCGUUAGUAGUUGAAGAUUAGGGAGCUGUUACUUGUUAGAAAAGGGUUCGGUUAUGGCAGUUGAGGAACAGUUAUUGAAAGCUCGGAAUUGGUUAAUUGUUGUUUGGACAUUGAACUGAGUUGUUGUCUCUACAGAUUAUGAAGCUCUUCAUUGGCUGCCUUGAAAUGCAUUGGCUGCCAUGGUGGAUGCUUUAAUUGAAUUCAAUGAAGUGAAUUUGCUAUUGGGUGAUGGAAUGCAAUAAAUUUAGAUUGGCUAUGGAAUACUUUGAUUGGAUUUUGCUUGGAAUUGCAUUGCUCAUGUUUUGGACCUUUGAUUUGAAUUGUAUUGGUAGGGUUUUUGUAUGUAUAGAAAUGGAUUAGAAAUUGGAUGUAAUGGUGUAUGUGAUAGGUAGUUAAAUUAAUGUAUGAUCAAUUAUAAUGCAUGGUCAUGUAUUAGAGUGAACUUGUAUGAAAGUGUUGAAUUAAAAUGUACUAAAAUGGUUGUGUAAUGAAAUGUUGUAAAUGGUCAAUUGGAAA